CGAGUGGCGAACGGGUGAGUAACACGUGGGUGAUCUGCCCUGCACUCUGGGAUAAGCCUGGGAAACUGGGUCUAAUACCGGAUAUGAGCUCCUGUCGCAUGGCGGGGGUUGGAAAGGUUUACUGGUGCAGGAUGGGCCCGCGGCCUAUCAGCUUGUUGGUGGGGUAAUGGCCUACCAAGGCGACGACGGGUAGCCGGCCUGAGAGGGCGACCGGCCACACUGGGACUGAGACACGGCCCAGACUCCUACGGGAGGCAGCAGUGGGGAAUAUUGCACAAUGGGCGAAAGCCUGAUGCAGCGACGCCGCGUGAGGGAUGACGGCCUUCGGGUUGUAAACCUCUUUCAGCAGGGACGAAGCGAGAGUGACGGUACCUGCAGAAGAAGCACCGGCCAACUACGUGCCAGCAGCCGCGGUAAUACGUAGGGUGCGAGCGUUGUCCGGAAUUACUGGGCGUAAAGAGCUCGUAGGCGGUUUGUCGCGUCGUCCGUGAAAACUUGGGGCUCAACCCCAAGCUUGCGGGCGAUACGGGCAGACUUGAGUACUGCAGGGGAGACUGGAAUUCCUGGUGUAGCGGUGAAAUGCGCAGAUAUCAGGAGGAACACCGGUGGCGAAGGCGGGUCUCUGGGCAGUAACUGACGCU
rnacentral:rRNA from 1 species